rnacentral:rRNA from 1 species
CCUACGGGUGGCUGCAGUCGAGGAUCUUCGGCAAUGGGCGAAAGCCUGACCGAGCGACGCCGCGUGUGGGAUGAAGGCCUUCGGGUUGUAAACCACUGUCGUAGAGGAGGAAAUUCUGGGGGGUUCUCCCCUCGGUUUGACCUAUUCUAGGAGGAAGUCAGGGCUAAGUUCGUGCCAGCAGCCGCGGUAAGACGAACCUGACAAACGUUAUUCGGAAUUACUGGGCUUAAAGGGUGCGUAGGCGGCGCGACAAGUUGGGUGUGAAAUCCCUCGGCUCAACCGAGGAACUGCGCUCAAUACUGUCGUGCUCGAGGGAGACAGAGGUGAGCGGAACUUAGGGUGGAGCGGUGAAAUGCGUUGAUAUCCUAAGGAACACCGGUAGCGAAAGCGGCUCACUGGGUCUUUUCUGACGCUGAGGCACGAAAGCUAGGGUAGCGAAC